AACGCACCUUGCACUCUUUGGUAUUCCGAAGAGUAUGUCUGUUUGAGUGUCAUGAAACUCUCAACCCCCUUGUUUUGUAAUGAAACGAGCGUGGGCUUGGUUUAUGGCGGUUGCCGGCGUAAUAGUCGACUCUGCUGAAAUACACGAGCUACCCAUUUCUGAGAAAUAGACGGUUUGACUCGGCGUAAUAAUAUAUUCCGCUGAGGACGUCACAUUCUCUAACCAGUGGUGCUUCUAAUGCGACAUCUAAACUCUUAAGCUUUAGACCUCAAAUCAGUCAGGACUACCCGCUGAACUUAA
rnacentral:misc_RNA from 1 species